rnacentral:tRNA from 1 species
AGUCCCGUAAGCACCAAAGUGCAAAUUUGGAGACGCACCCUAACAGGUGCCGGGGCUU